UACCCCUUACAAAAUAACACUAACACCUUAGACUCUACACACAACCCAAUCCGCCACUUCUCUGAAAAAAUGGAAGAAAAGAAAAAAAACGAAAAAUGAAAGACCUAUCUUCACACAAAUGAUAAUCAGCCAAAAAAAAGGAAACAAAAAAGAACGAAAACCUAGGGAAAAGCUAAAGGAUCAACGCUGUUUUCUUAAAAAAUUUCGUCAGCUGUAAUUCCAAACAAAGAGAAGCCUUCCCCCAUUUUUUCAACCAAACACAAUAGACCUCCCCAUUUUCUAAAAGCUUCAGCCGAUUCCAAAAUUGCAAAAUCUCAAAGCUUCAUUCUCGCAAUUUACGGAAGCUCACACACACAAACAUAACAAAAAAAAGAUGAGAAAAGCAGGUGGCGAAACAGAAACGGAAAAUACAAAGAGGAGAUGAAUUGAUAGUGAGAGACAACACUUUGGAACAGAGGAUUCCAUUAAUUUUCUCAUUAUUAAAACCAUUAGAACAAAGGGCCUCCAAGGUCUUUCUUAAAGUGAGAAAUCAAUUCAACGAUGAGCAACAAAAAAAAAAUACGAUUUGGUUGAGAGAUCCGAUUUUUGAAAAAUCUGGUAGUCGAGUUCCUAUUCGAGGCCGUAGGUUUGUUGGUUCCGUCGAUUGUUCGCGGUUUUUGUUGCCAAUUUGGAGUAUUUUUAGUCGAGUUAGCGGCAUCAAAUUCAUUUGUAGCUGUUGGAUUUUCUCUUGUUUAAUAAAGAAGUCUCGCACCAGAGAUCCAGGAGUUGCGGGUCGCGAUAGUGAGUGUUGAUCAUUGUUCCAGCAGGUCUUCGGAGUUGGCAAGGUAGCUGACUGGUGUUCGCAACCCUGCACUUCUCCUUCUUACCUUUCUUAGACUGUUUUUAGUAUUUUAUUUCCGGACUAUGGUAGUUUUUCUUGUACUUAGACAGAUUUUGUAGUUGCUCGUGACUUGUGACACCCCAAUAUCGGGCUUGUGUUAUUUUUCCGCAUUGGUUAUCUAGAUUUAUGUUAUGAGAUUCUGUUAAUUAAUAGCUUAAAAAUAAUUUUUAUAAAAUACUAGUUAAGUUUUA